rnacentral:ncRNA from 1 species
AUUGAACUGUAAUGAGGAUUAUAGUUGAUAAAGGCAAAUCCCCGGGCCUGGUCGAUGGUGUGAAACAGCGGAUUCCAGGAGAAGAAGGGCAGCAUGUAGGCCGGCAGGUUGUUGGCCAGGAACAUCUUGCCCGAGGCCACCAUGUUGGCCCGCG